AUCUGCCACCGACAGCAGUUCAGCUGCAGUCACAGCAGUCCUCAGCUGUGGUAUUUAAUUUACCGGCUGCACCAGUUCCUACUACACUGGCUGUUAAAAGGAGAAACUUUUGAGGAUUCCCAGAUGGAUACAGAUCUGGCAUGCACUCCACCACUAGCUGACAGCCUCACCCAGAAGACACUGGGCCUAUCAAGACUGACAAAGCAGAGAUGGGUGGCUGACAAGAAAAAUAAAACAACAUGCACACACACACACACACACACACACACACACACACACACACAUUAUCCACAAUGUAAAUAAGUUGCAAUUAUUUGUUUAUUUAAUGUUUGCUCCAUUUUAUUUUAUUAGAUAUCUACUCCUAUAUAGCCAUUAUCAAUAUCUGCAUAAUUACUCUAAAUAUCUAUCAAAUCAACAUGUGAUUGAUAAUAUUGUAAAAGACUGUGUACAGUUUUAGGAAAUUCGGUGUACUUUUUUCUGAAUGAAAAACAUGCCUCCCUCUCUCUCACACACACACACUAGACCCAAUGUAAAUAAAUUGUAAUAACUUGUUUAUUUUAUGUAUGCUCCAUUUUAUUUGAGGAAAAUAUCUCCAAUAAAUGACAUUCAAAGUUAAA